rnacentral:rRNA from 1 species
GAUGAACGCUGGCGGCGUGCCUAAUACAUGCAAGUCGAGCGAACGGACGAGAAGCUUGCUUCUCUGAUGUUAGCGGCGGACGGGUGAGUAACACGUGGAUAACCUACCUAUAAGACUGGGAUAACUUCGGGAAACCGGAGCUAAUACCGGAUAAUAUUUUGAACCGCAUGGUUCAAAAGUGAAAGACGGUCUUGCUGUCACUUAUAGAUGGAUCCGCGCUGCAUUAGCUAGUUGGUAAGGUAACGGCUUACCAAGGCAACGAUGCGUAGCCGACCUGAGAGGGUGAUCGGCCACACUGGAACUGAGACACGGUCCAGACUCCUACGGGAGGCAGCAGUAGGGAAUCUUCCGCAAUGGGCGAAAGCCUGACGGAGCAACGCCGCGUGAGUGAUGAAGGUCUUCGGAUCGUAAAACUCUGUUUUUAGGGAAGAACAUAUGUGUAAGUAACUGUGCACAUCUUGACGGUACCUAAUCAGAAAGCCACGGCUAACUACGUG